GACGAACGCUGGCGGCGUGCUUAACACAUGCAAGUCGAACGGAAAGGCCCUGCUUUUGUGGGGUGCUCGAGUGGCGAACGGGUGAGUAACACGUGAGUAACCUGCCCUUGACUUUGGGAUAACUUCAGGAAACUGGGGCUAAUACCGGAUAGGAGCUCCUGCUGCAUGGUGGGGGUUGGAAAGUUUCGGCGGUUGGGGAUGGACUCGCGGCUUAUCAGCUUGUUGGUGGGGUAGUGGCUUACCAAGGCUUUGACGGGUAGCCGGCCUGAGAGGGUGACCGGCCACAUUGGGACUGAGAUACGGCCCAGACUCCUACGGGAGGCAGCAGUGGGGAAUAUUGCACAAUGGGCGGAAGCCGGAUGCAGCAACGCCGCGUGCGGGAUGACGGCCUUCGGGUUGUAAACCGCUUUCGCCUGUGGCGAAGCGUGAGUGACGGUAAUGGGUAAAGAAGCACCGGCUAACUACGUG
rnacentral:rRNA from 1 species